rnacentral:pre_miRNA from 1 species
UUUUUGGUGUAAGUCUGUCUCAUGCAAUAUUUGGGACAUACUUAUACUAAAA